rnacentral:rRNA from 1 species
AUGGUGCUAAAACUGGAUUUCAGAAAAGCUUUCGACUCUGUGUCUUGGCAUGCCCUUCUCCUCAUCCUGCGGCAUUGGGGAUUCCCCAGCCGUUUUUGCUCCUGGAUUUCAGACUUGCUUACCUCUGGCAAAACGGCUGUCAUGCUUAACGGUGUUCAGGGUGAUUGGAUUAACUGCAAAAACGGCCUGCGCCAAGGCGACCCCGUGUCCCCUACCUUUUCAUCAUUGUUGCAGAUGUUCUUCAGCAGCUCAUUCUAA